CAUUUGAGCAAUGUCCUUUCCUAUGUACCAGUGAAUGUGCUAUCAGGAGGACACCAAACAUUCUUUUCUAAUCUAGGAUUAACUGCCCAGAAGAGCAAAAAUAGUCAACAUACCAGCCUCUCCAACAUGCUAAGAAGAGCUUAAAACUGUUCAGCAGCAAAGCAGAUAACAUAAUAGGAACACUAAACUGAAGUUAACUCAAAUUGAAACAACAGAAGUUAACAGAAACAUGACCGACUCUGCAAAUCAAGUAGUGUAAUGGAAAAUAAUAUAUGAGAAGUUCAACUUGGAAGCAGAUGAAGAUGGAUUUACUGGGGUGGAAAUCCAGAGAAAUCCAGCAUGAGAGGGAGUCUCUAACCCAACAGACCUAGAAGUGGGAAAAUCCAGUUGCUUGAGGGCCAAACAUGAGCUACGUUACCUGAAGAGAUGGCUUGGACAGCUGGAGGAGCUGCCGCUCUUCCGCAGCCGAGUGAAGCCUCGUUGACAGAAGUCUCACCCUCCAGGGUGACUUUCGACCCGCAUAAGGGUGUACCGGUGGAGGGAAAACUAGCUGACAGGGAGAUGAGUCUCCUCGUUCAGCUAGGGAUGCCGCGAUCCGGAACUGGAAGUCAACUUUGAGAAAAUCUUAACCAGAGACUCUUUCUUUCUGAAGAGGAGCGGACUGUCAACUUUAGAAUGAGCAUGGCUGCAGCCAUUUUUUCCUUCUCAUUUCUAUUUGACACAUAGCAUGGAGGCAGGGGGGUUGCCAGGGUUUGUGCUAGACAAAACAGACUUUCUCUCUCAGACUUUCUCUCAUGGGAACCAAGGUCAUCGGCUGCUCCCGGGACUGCGGGCUGGGCGUUUCAUGAAAGCCCCACUAACAUGCUGAAUGGGGAAAUGUAGUUGCUUGCAUAGCCUUAAGGGUGGGAUUUCUUAACUUUGUAUUGGGGAAUUGUUAUGCAUCUCUUCAGACUUGGUUUUACUUUUGAAGUGCCGAAUUUGUAAGACUCAGAGUUCUGCUUUAUUUGUCUCUGUCUGUCAGAACCAUGACAAGUAGUUUAUGUUUGAUAUUAAUUUGUUGUUAAGUGAACAAGAAUCAAAUAGUUUUUUAAUGAAUAAAUAUUUUUACAAUAGAAAAAAUGUCUGUUCACUUUUAGUCAAACUAUUUUUUUUUGAGUAUCUAUGUGUAAAGUGACUGACUAUUCCUCUCCUCUUCUCACUCUUCCAGUAAAUUCAGCUAAGACAAAACAGUCAGGUUUUAGCUGUAAAUCUUUAAUAAAUCUCUGUUUAAAAUCAGUAUGUUCAUUAUUGUUAGAUAAUCUUAUAAAACACACCCAAAUGUGGAACUUAUACAAUAGGAAAGUCUUGGGUGAAAAAAGGAGAUGGCCAUAAAUAGCACUCUCAGAAGUUAAUAUUAAUGUCCUUCCAGAAAACUAGACACCUCAGAGCUACACACAAUAGAAUAAAAUGAUUUUGUACAUAAUCCCAUUGGUUACUAAAAAAAAUCUAUUGAAUUUAAUUGUCCUCCAUUUAAAUUAAACCACCAACCAAUCACCACAUUCAGAAUGCACAAUGACUUGUUAAUACAGCAGCCUAUGAACAGACUGGAGUGAGGAAGAUGCAUUGUUUCUCAUUUAAAUACAGUCUGCCCAAAGUGAACUAAGAAAGAAAAAAGAAACAAAAUUCAAGUCUGAUACCAAAGAUAAGCAUUUAUGAUAGUCCACUUGUUAAGUUCCCAUGACCAGAGAGUCCCUUAUAUGAUAGAGUGCUGCAGUCAUUCACAGAUGACCUCUUGGAAAAAAGUAAGGAAAAACAAUAUGGCAUGAUUUAUGAGUGCAGAUUAGUUAGGUGAUUAUUUCAGUCAGGAAAGGUGUCCUUUCUGAUAAUAAAAUGUUUCUCCUUGUAGCUGAAUUUAUAUGUGUGUGUGUGUAAUUACUGUGCCAUGUAUGCACUUUCAUCUGCCACAUGAAAUAAUACAAUCAUAAUUAUCAUUUGUUGAUUCCAAAAACUAUAACUGGAACUACCAAAGAUUUGUGAGUUAUUUUUUAUUUCAUCCUACUUCAUUCGAUCCAUCAGGUUCGUUCAAAGGUGAAAAAUGUAAGCCUCUGCAUUUAGGCAGGAAGAACCAAAUGCAUAGGUACAAGAUACAUCCAUGGCUUAACAAUAGUCCUUGUGAGAAGGAUAUGGGAGUUUUGGUAGGCCACAAAUUACAGAUGAAAUGGCAUUGUGCUGCAGUUGGGGCUACAUCAACAGAGACAUAGUUCAAGAUCAUGAGAAGUGUUAGUACCACUCUAUUUUGAACUGGUCAGACCACAUCUGUAAUACUGUGUCCCUUUCUGGUUAUCAUAAUACAAAAAGGAAGUUAAUGGUAAUAGUAGCUAAAUCUUACAAAAGAUAGCUAAAGGAACUUGAAACUUUUAGGGUUAGGAUUGAGUCUAGAACUAUGAAGGUAUUUCUCUCUUAUCCCAAAGCUACUUUUUCAGGCGGCAACUGAAGACAAGUGCAAUUUUUUGUUUGUGUUAUAACUGCAUGUGUGUUUGUGUGAGUAAAGAAAAGGAAACAAAUAGCGAGAAAGAAUAGAUAUGCCAAGUUUUCUGCAAAAAUAACUAUCCCAAAGUACAUGUAACUGAUAUAUACUUGCAUAGUCCAUAUCUAGAGAACUGCAGCAUGCCUUUAUUUUCAGACUAAUCUUUUUAAAUCUAAUGUCAAUUCUCAAUGAGGCUGCUUAAAAUCAAACUAUAAUCUGAAUUUUUAAAAAAGAACAUUAGGCUGCAGUAUUUGAGCUUCUUUAGUAUUCUAAAAUAAGAAUUUAUUCUCUAAUUGAUAAAAUAAUUUAGUACAUCUUAGGUUAACUGCCCACUAGCUUUUUACUUGCAAGAUUAAUUAGCUACAAUGAACUGUCUCCUAAGUUUUUGUCUCUGAUAAAUAAUAAAUAAAUAAAUAAAUAAAUAAAUAAAUAAUAAAAAUGAAAUGAUGAAAUUGUAGUGUGUUAAAAAUUCUUGUUAUAUUAAAAUCGUCUUCAAAUUAUUUGUAGUUCCACAUAGAUAAAUAAAAGGAAUUUAAAAAGACCUCAUAAAAUAUUAAUGUUUAGGUUAGGAUUUUUUUCAUUAUAAAAAAACGGGUAUGAUAAAAUAGCUAAUUAUAGGGAAAUUGUUAAAUAACUUAAUUUAUUUUCCAAGUUUAAAUAUAUUCCAAAGUAUCCGUAAAAGAACUAUAAUUUUAU